UGGUUCAGUGGUAGAAUCCUUGUAUACUACACAAGAGACCUGGGUUCAAUUCCCAG
rfam:Alligator mississippiensis ScZkoYb_113.1, whole genome shotgun sequence.